rnacentral:lncRNA from 1 species
AACGACUCAGCUCAUGAGCUAGAGUUUAUUCAAACUCUUAACUAGGUUUAUUAUCGGGUCAGUGCAACCCAACAAGGAGCUACAGCUGCCUGCCCAUAAACGACUUCGUGGGUAGUCUUAAUUCCACUUCCAAGGUAACGAUUUGCAUAAGAAGUCUGCUUGCUAGCUUUACUAGGUUAGGUCUAGGACUAGGACAAAGAAAAUCAGGGUUAACUGAUUGUUGCUAUCGAAAUAAUAAUCAGACGAACUCAGAGGCAAAUCGUCGGUCCUCCCUCCAUCUCCCCCCGGAUUCUCACCCACCGCCGCUGCAAUUGCGUUUCAUUGGCAACCGUUCCGGUCCAACCUUCCUUCUUCUCCGAUCUACAUGGCCGGAGCUGGAAUUCAC